AGAGUUUGAUCCUGGCUCAGGAUGAACGCUAGCGGCAGGCCUAAUACAUGCAAGUCGAACGGUGAUAGUGAUAUCAUAGUGGCGCACGGGUGCGUAACACGUAUGCAACCUACCUUAUACUUAGGGAUAGCCUUUGGAAACGGAGAUUAAUACCUAAUAGUACAUUUGACUGGCAUCGGUUAACUGUUAAAGAUUUAUUGGUAUAAGAUGGGCAUGCGUCCAAUUAGUUAGUUGGUGAGGUAAUGGCUCACCAAGACGAUGAUUGGUAGGGGAACUGAGAGGUUAAUCCCCCACACUGGCACUGAGAUACGGGCCAGACUCCUACGGGAGGCAGCAGUAGGGAAUAUUGGGCAAUGGAGGGAACUCUGACCCAGCCAUGCCGCGUGCAGGAUGAAGGCGUUAUGCGUUGUAAACUGCUUUUAUAUAGGAAGAAAUAGUCCUUGCGAGGAAAGUUGACGGUACUAUAUGAAUAAGCACCGGCUAACUCCGUGCCAGCAGCCGCGGUAAUACGGAGGGUGCAAGCGUUGUCCGGAUUUAUUGGGUUUAAAGGGUGCGUAGGCGGUUUAUUAAGUCAGUGGUGAAAGACGGUCGCUCAACGAUUGCAGUGCCAUUGAUACUGGUAGACUUGAGUAUGAUUGAGGUAGCUGGAAUGGAUAGUGUAGCGGUGAAAUGCAUAGAUAUUAUCCAGAACACCAAUUGCGUAGGCAA
rnacentral:rRNA from 1 species